GAUGAACGCUGGCGGCGUGCCUAAUACAUGCAAGUCGAUCGAAUGGAUGAAGAGCUUGCUCUUAUGAAGUUAGCGGCGUCCUGGUGAGUAACUGUGGGGUAACCUGCCCAUAAGACUGGGAUAACACCGGGAAUACUGGGCCAAUACCGGAUAACAUUUUGAACCGCAUGGUUCGAAAUUGAAAGGCGGCUUCGGCUGUCUCUUAUGGAUGGACCCGCGACGCAUUAGCUAGUUGGUGAGGUAACGGCUCAGCAAGGCUACGAUGCGAAGCCGACCUGAGAGGGGGAUCGGCCACACUGAGACAGGGACAAAGCCCAGAGUCCUACGAGAGGCAGCAGACCGCACACUUCCACAAUGGACGAAAGUCUGAAGUAGCAACGCCGCGUGAGUGAUGAAGGCUUUCGGGUCGAAAAACUAUGUGGUUAGGGAAGAACAAGUGCUAGGGGAAUAAGCUGGCACCUUGACGGUACCUAACCAGCAGGCCACGGCUAACUACGUGCCAGCCGCUGCGGUAA
rnacentral:rRNA from 1 species